rnacentral:tmRNA from 1 species
UUUUAUAGUUGCCAACGACGAAAACUACGCACUAGCGGCCUAAAAAACCCGCUUACGUCCAUGAUUCGUUUCUUGCUAGGAGAANUGGACGGCAAAGCAGCAAGAUCGCGCGGAUGUCUCGCCCGGGGCUGAACCGUUAAAACCAAUCGGGAUCGCUGAAAGUACCCUGACCGUCGGGUCACUGGAGGCUAAAUCAAUAGACGGACUCUAAGCAUGUAGAGCCAAUAGCGGCGAAUCAGCGGACGCGGGUUCAACUCCCGCCGCCUCCACCA